rnacentral:rRNA from 1 species
UGGGGAAUAUUGGACAAUGGGCGAAAGCCUGAUCCAGCCAUGCCGCGUGUGUGAAGAAGGCCUUUUGGUUGUAAAGCACUUUUAGCGAGGAGGAGGCUACUUGGAUUAAUACUCUAGGAUAGUGGACGUUACUCGCAGAAUAAGCACCGGCUAACUCUGUGCCAGCAGCCGCGGUAAUACAGAGGGUGCGAGCGUUAAUCGGAUUUACUGGGCGUAAAGCGUGCGUAGGCGGCUUUUUAAGUCGGAUGUGAAAUCCCUGAGCUUAACUUAGGAAUUGCAUUCGAUACUGGGAAGCUAGAGUAUGGGAGAGGAUGGUAGAAUUCCAGGUGUAGCGGUGAAAUGCGUAGAGAUCUAGAGGAAUACCGAUGGCGAAGGCAGCCAUCUGGCCUAAUACUGACGCUGAGGUACGAAAGCAUGGGGAGCAAACAGG